AGCUUGCUUCCAAAACAACUUAGCGGCGGACGGGUGAGUAACACGUAGGUAACCUGCCUAUAAGACUGGGAUAACUACCGGAAACGGUAGCUAAUACCGGAUAAUUUGUUUCUUCUCCUGAAGAGACACUGAAAGGCGGAGUAAUCUGCCACUUAUAGAUGGGCCUGCGGCGCAUUAGCUAGUUGGUGAGGUAACGGCUCACCAAGGCGACGAUGCGUAGCCGACCUGAGAGGGUGAACGGCCACACUGGGACUGAGACACGGCCCAGACUCCUACGGGAGGCAGCAGUAGGGAAUCUUCCGCAAUGGACGAAAGUCUGACGGAGCAAUGCCGCGUGAGUGAUGAAGGUUUUCGGAUCGUAAAGCUCUGUUGCCAGGGAAGAACACUUGGGAGAGUAACUGCUCUCAAGGUGACGGUACCUGAGAAGAAAGCCCCGGCUAACUACGUGCCAGCAGCCGCGGUAAUACGUAGGGGGCAAGCGUUGUCCGGAAUUAUUGGGCGUAAAGCGCGCGCAGGCGGUCAUUUAAGUCUGGUGUUUAAUCCUGGGGCUCAACCCCAGGUCGCACUGGAAACUGGAUGACUUGAGUACAGAAGAGGAGAGUGGAAUUCCACGUGUAGCGGUGAAAUGCGUAGAUAUGUGGAGGAACACCAGUGGCGAAGGCGACUCUCUGGGCUGUAACUGACGCUGA
rnacentral:rRNA from 1 species